GAUGAACGCUGGCGGCGUGCCUAAUACAUGCAAGUCGAGCGAACGGACGAGAAGCUUGCUUCUCUGAUGUUAGCGGCGGACGGGUGAGUAACACGUGGAUAACCUACCUAUAAGACUGGGAUAACUUCGGGAAACCGUAGCUAAUACCGGAUAAUAUUUUGAACCGCAUGGUUCAAAAGUGAAAGACGGUCUUGCUGUCACUUAUAGAUGGAUCCGCGCUGCAUUAGCUAGUUGGUAAGGUAACGGCUUACCAAGGCAACGAUGCAUAGCCGACCGGCGAGGGUGAUCGGCCACACUGGAACUGAGACACGGUCCAGACUCCUACGGGAGGCAGCAGUAGGGAAUCUUCCGCAAGGGGCGAAAGCCUGACGGAGCAACGCCGCGUGAGUGAUGAAGGUCUUCGGAUCGUAAAACUCUGUUAUUAGGGAAGAACAUAUGUGUAAGUAACUGUGCACAUCUUGACGGUACCUAAUCAGAAAGCCACGGCUAACUACGUG
rnacentral:rRNA from 1 species